AGUCCUGGAAUCAAACACUUCCUGAUUCUAGACAGUCCUUGGAAAAACAAACUAUAAACACAUGCGUUUUGAUGGCAAUGACACGAUAGUUAAAUCAUGUGUGUACUCAAUUGUUCUAGGCAAUUUCUCUCUCAGAUACUUUCACAUAAUGUUCUUGGAGGGUAUACCGGUGUCGUUAGAGGUGCGUCUUUAAUUGCAAAAGCGCGACGCAGCACAGAGUUUUUAUAUCGACGUUACACAUGUCUUGCCUCUCAACAAAUACAUCCACAUCUCUCUGCAUUUUACAACGGUAUUAGAAGGUAUUACGCCGAUUUACAUAAUGAAGAGAAUGUUUCAAAGUUGGACAGCCCUGGCAAGUUUCUGGCACAACAAGAUGGAUAUGAGAUGCAGAGCGACUCAAGCCAAAGAAACCCGCAGGAGGACUUUAACAUGGACGUGUUGGUGUCCCUGCUCCGCCAGGAGAAUGCAGCAGACAUCUGUGUCAUCAAGGUGCCUGAGGACAUCAAGUACACCGACUACUUUAUCGUUGUCAGCGGGUCCUCCUCAAGGCACCUCCGUGCCAUGGCCCUCACGCCAUUAAAGUGUACAAAUAUAUGAAGAAAGAUGGGGACCCACAUGCCAAGAUUGAGGGAAAGGAUGCAGAUGACUGGAUGUGCAUUGACUUUGGAAGGAUGGUGGUCCACUUCAUGCUACCAGAGACCAGAGAGGUGUAUGAACUGGAGAAGCUGUGGACACUACGUUCUCUUGAUGAACAGUUGAGCUCCAUCCCCGUUGAGACGCUCCCAGAGGACUUCAUAUAUGGAGCCCAUGUCAAUGUCACCAAGUGACUCAACAAUUAAACAACUGUUGAGACUGGAGUGUUAUUUAUUGAAAAGAAGAGACACUGAGUCUGCUUCCUAAAUGCCACCCUAUUCCCUUUAUAGUGCACUACUUUUGACCAGACCUAUUCCCUUUAUAGUGCACUACUUUUGACCAGAGUCUUAUGGGCCCUGGUCAAAAGUAGAUUACACAAUAAGUGUCUUACAAUCAUGGUUGUUAAUGUUUGCACUGGAAUGUAGCUAGGAGUUUAGGGUGUUUUUGUGUGUGUUGAUGUGUUGAUGCAAUGGGGGUGGGGGAUUCGGUGGCAAUGGUUGUUUGGGCAUUUCAUCAGAAGACUGAAUUUUAUUAAAGAAUUCAUUUCAAAAAUA